AGCGAACGCUGGCGGCGUGCCUAACACAUGCAAGUCGAACGUGAAAAAGAGCAACCCUGAGUAAAGUGGCGUACGGGUGAGUAACACGUAGGUAAUCUACCCCAGAAUCCGGAAUAACCUGCCGAAAGGCGGGCUAUACUGGAUAGAGCGACGGAAUCCGUAAUUGGGUUUUUCGGGAAAGGGAGCUCGCAAGAGCCUUCGUUCUGGGAUGAGCCUGCGUCUCAUUAGCUAGUUGGUGGGGUAAUGGCCCACCAAGGCUUUGAUGGGUAGCUGGUCUGAGAGGAUGAUCAGCCACACUGGAACUGAAACACGGUCCAGACUCCUACGGGAGGCAGCAGUGGGGAAUCUUGCGCAAUGGACGAAAGUCUGACGCAGCCACACCGCGUGAGUGAAGAAGGCCUUCGGGUUGUAAAGCUCUGUCGGGCGGGACGAAAAUUUUCUGAAUUAACAGCCCAGAGAACUGACGGUACCGCCAAAGGAAGCACCGGCUAACUUCAUGCCAGCCGCCGCAGUAA
rnacentral:rRNA from 1 species